CAUUUUCAUUCAUUCACAAAUCAUCUUUCUUACCUCUUCAUUUCCUUCUUUCUCUAGUUUCUUCAUAUAGAAAUAUUAGUUUUAGUUGUCGAAGUUUUCACGGUGUCGGUUUGUAGUUUUUAGAGUUAUUUUGGGGUCAAAGUUCUUCUAAAGUUUUAAAGGAGUUUGAUACGUCAAAGUUCUGCUCAAAUCAUUUUCAUAAGUAACCGGUUCUGGGCAAACAUCAGAGAAAACGCUCGUGGACUUUCAACAACGAUCAACAACAAAAGGCGACGAGCUAGACCAUUUAGGAGGGAAGGCUAUGGAGUGACAGAUUACGAUAAUGUCAAGGCUGAAGGUUGCUAGCGUUUUGUCAAACGCUUAUCACAUCGUUACUAGUACGUAAUAUUAUAUACAGUCAGUAUAAGUGUCAGUCCUGUUGGACUUAGGAGGUCCUUCUAUUAAGCUUUCUUUUGAUUUUCAUGUACUUUUAUUUUAAGUUUUAUCUACGUGGCAAGGCCAUUAGUCGUAACGGUGUCAAACUUUAUGUAAAACAUAUUUGAAGCAUAUAUAUAUGUGAAGUAGUACAUUUUAAUU